ncrna:unclassified sequences DTF3800-I RNA
UAUAGGUACAGACAAUGCUGUACUGUAUACACCUGUAAGUUGAUACUCUGUAUUAAGCGUACUGUAAGUACGCCGACCAGGUGGAAGAGGCAACCAUCCGUGGUUGCCUCUUUUUUUGACCC